rnacentral:rRNA from 1 species
UACGUAGGGUGCGAGCGUUGUCCGGAAUUAUUGGGCGUAAAGGGCUCGUAGGCGGUUUGUCGCGUCGGGCGUGAAAUCCACCAGCUUAACUGGUGGUCUGCGUUCGAUACGGGCAGACUAGAGGUAUGCAGGGGAGAACGGAAUUCCUGGUGUAGCGGUGAAAUGCGCAGAUAUCAGGAGGAACACCGGUGGCGAAGGCGGUUCUCUGGGCAUUACCUGACGCUGAGGAGCGAAAGUGUGGGGAGCGAACAGG